rnacentral:rRNA from 1 species
UACGGAGGGUGCGAGCGUUAUCCGGAUUCACUGGGCGUAAAGGGCGCGUAGGCGGCCCGCACAAGUCUGCGGUGAAAACCUCCGGCUUAACCGGGGGCCGGCCGUGGAAACCAUCUGGCUAGAGUCCGGAAGAGGAGAAUGGAAUUCCCGGUGUAGCGGUGAAAUGCGCAGAUAUCGGGAAGAACACCCGUGGCGAAGGCGGUUCUCUGGGACGGUACUGACGCUGAGACGCGAAAGCGUGGGGAGCGAACAGG